rnacentral:rRNA from 1 species
UGGGGAAUAUUGCACAAUGGAGGGAACUCUGAUGCAGCGACGCCGCGUGAACGAAGAAGGCUUUCGAGUCGUAAAGUUCUUUUAUAUGGGAAGAUAAUGACGGUACCAUGAGAAAAAGCCCCGGCUAACUACGUGCCAGCAGCCGCGGUAAUACGUAGGGGGCUAGCGUUGUCCGGAAUCACUGGGCGUAAAGGGUUCGCAGGCGGAAAUGCAAGUCAGGUGUAAAAGGCAGUAGCUUAACUACUGUAAGCAUUUGAAACUGCAUAUCUUGAGAAGAGUAGAGGUAAGUGGAAUUUUUAGUGUAGCGGUGAAAUGCGUAGAUAUUAAAAAGAAUACCGGUGGCGAAGGCGGCUUACUGGGCUCAUUCUGACGCUGAGGAACGAAAGCGUGGGUAGCAAACAGG